UGUUACAGGUGUUGCAUGGCUGUCGUCAGCUCGUGUCGUGAGAUGUUCGGUUAAGUCCGCUAACGAGCGCAACCCGCGUUGUGUGUUACAAGUGUCACACAAUACCGCCGGUAUUAAGUCGGAGGAAGGUGCGGAUGACGUCAAGUCAGCACGACCUUUAUAUCCAGGGCUACACACACGCUACAAUGGUCGGCACAAUAGGUUGCCAAGUCGUGAGACGGAGCCAAUCCUCCAAAGCCGGCCUCAGUUCAGAUUGCAGGCUGCAACUCGCCUGCAUGAAGUUGGAGUUGCUAGUAAACGCAGGUCAGCUAUACUGCGUUGAAUACGUUCCCGGGGAUU
rnacentral:rRNA from 1 species